rnacentral:tRNA from 1 species
GGGCCGUUAGCUCAGUCGGUCAGAGCAAGCGACUCAUAAUCGCCAGGUCGCGGGUUCAAGUCCUGCACGGCCCACCA